UAAGCAGAGGAAAAGAAACUAAUAAGGAUUCCCCUAGUAACUGCGAGUGAAGCGGGAAAAGCUCAAAUUUAAAAUCUGGUGGCCUUUGUCCAUNCGAGUUGUAAUUUAGAGAAGCGUCUUNCGCACUGGACCGUGCACAAGUCUCCUGGAACGGAGCGUCAUAGAGGGUGAGAAUCCCGUCUUUGGCACGGACAUGCCAGGGCUUUUGUGAUGCGCUCUCGAAGAGUCGAGUUGUUUGGGAAUGCAGCUCAAAAUGGGUGGUGAACUCCAUCUAAAGCUAAAUAUUGGCGAGAGACCGAUAGCAAACAAGUACCGUGAGGGAAAGAUGAAAAGCACUUUGGAAAGAGAGUGAAACAGUACGUGAAAUUGUUGAAAGGGAAACGCUUGAAGUCAGUUGCGUCGACCGAGACUCAGCCUUGCCUUGGCUUGGUGUACUUCUCGGCUGACGGGUCAGCAUCAAUUUUGCCCCUUGGAUAGUGGCGAGGGAAAUGUGACACCUUUACGGUGUGUUAUAGUCUCUUGUCUCAUGCAAGGGUUGGGAUUGAGGAACUCAGCACGCGCCUUUGGGUGUCGGGGUUUUUGCCCACGAUACGUGCUUAGGAUGUUGGCGUAAUGGCUUUAAACGACC
rnacentral:rRNA from 1 species